CCUUCGGGAGGGCGCUUACCACUUUGUGAUUCAUGACUGGGGUGAAGUCGUAACAAGGUAACCGUAGGGGAACCUGCGGUUGGAUCACCUCCUUACCAAGAAGAU
rnacentral:rRNA from 1 species